rnacentral:rRNA from 1 species
UACGUAGGGUGCGAGCGUUGUCCGGAAUUAUUGGGCGUAAAGGGCGCGUAGGCGGCCACGCACGUCCGUUGUGAAAUCGCCCGGCUCAACUGGGCGGGGUCAGCGGAUACGGUGUGGCUCGAGCAAGCUAGGGGGCAAUGGAAUUCCCGGUGUAGUGGUGGAAUGCGUAGAUAUCGGGAGGAACACCAGUGGCGAAGGCGGUUGCCUGGAGCUUUGCUGACGCUGAUGCGCGAAAGCGUGGGGAGCGAUCCGG